GAGGAGAGAAGGGGCAGCAGCCGCUGAGCCAACCCCUGCAGGGUGCUGGGAGCACUGGGGGCAGGGAGGACGGGACGUUUCGGAAGCCAGAGCCGUUGUUUGUGGAGCUGGAGAAGAGACUCAGCGAUUUCUCUCUGCGAAGUGCCAUGCUGCAGGAGGUGCUGCUGGGAUUCAAAGAGACGCUGCAACGGGAGCUGGGGAGCGACACAGGCUACAGAUUAACAUCCACAUUUUGCUCCAGGUCAUCCCCUCCUCACAGGGGGAAGGAAAUGGCUGCAAUGGAGCUGGCUCAGGGGCCGGUGACUUUU